rnacentral:rRNA from 1 species
GAUGAACGCUGGCGGCGUGCCUAAUACAUGCAAGUCGAGCGAACAGACGAGGAGCUUGCUCCUCUGACGUUAGCGGCGGACGGGUGAGUAACACGUGGAUAACCUACCUAUAAGACUGGGAUAACUUCGGGAAACCGGAGCUAAUACCGGAUAAUAUAUUGAACCGCAUGGUUCAAUAGUGAAAGAUGGUUUUGCUGUACCUUAUAGAUGGAUCCGCGCCGCAUUAGCUAGUUGGUAAGGUAACGGCUUACCAAGGCGACGAUGCGUAGCCGACCUGAGAGGGUGAUCGGCCACACUGGAACUGAGACACGGUCCAGACUCCUACGGGAGGCAGCAGUAGGGAAUCUUCCGCAAUGGGCGAAAGCCUGACGGAGCAACGCCGCGUGAGUGAUGAAGGUCUUCGGAUCGUAAAACUCUGUUAUUAGGGAAGAACAAAUGUGUAAGUAACUAUGCACGUCUUGACGGUACCUAAUCAGAAAGCCACGGCUAACUACGUG